rnacentral:rRNA from 1 species
UACGUAGGGCGCAAGCGUUGUCCGGAAUCAUUGGGCGUAAAGAGCUCGUAGGCGGCCUGUUGCGUCCGCUGUGAAAUCCCGGGGCUUAACCCCGGGCGUGCAGUGGAUACGGGCUGGCUGGAGGCAGGCAGGGGAGAACGGAAUUCCCGGUGUAGCGGUGAAAUGCGCAGAUAUCGGGAGGAACACCAGUGGCGAAGGCGAUCAUCUGGGGUUGUUCUGACACUGAGGAGCGAAAGCUAGGGGAGCAAACGGG